CCCUUCGGGGUACGAGUAGAGUGGCGGAAGGGUGAGUAAUGCCUAGAUAAUCUACCCUCGUGUUGGGGACAACAGCUGGAAACGGCUGCUAAUACCGAAUGAUACCUCGAAGUCGCAUGGCUACGAGGUGAAAGGUGGGUUUCGGCCUGUCACAUGAGGAGGAGUCUAGGUCCUAUCAGCUUGUUGGUGAGGUAAUGGCUCACCAAGGCUCUGACGGGUAGCCGGCCUGAGAGGGUGACCGGCCACACUGGGACUGAGACACUGCCCAGACUCCUACGGGAGGCUGCAGUCGAGAAUCUUCGGCAAUGGACGAAAGUCUGACCGAGCGACGCCGCGUGGAGGAUGAAGGCCUUCGGGUUGUAAACUCCUGUCAGGAGUUAAGAAAUCGUAGUCGGUCAAUACCCGGUUACGUUGACAAAGGCUCCAGAGGAAGUCAUGGCUAACACUGUGCCAGCAGCCGCGGUAAUACAGAGAUGGCAAGCGUUGUUCGGAAUUACUGGGCAUAAAGGGCACGUAGGCGGAUUGGACAGUCAGGUGUGAAAUCCCUCGGCUUAACCGAGGAACUGCGCCUGAUACUACCAGUCUUGAGGGCAGGAGGGGAGAGUGGAACUCUUGGUGGAGCGGUGAAAUGCGUAGAUACCAAGAGGAACGCCGGUGGCGAAAGCGACUCUCUGGCCUGUUUCUGACGCUGAGGUGCGAAAGCUAGGGGAGCAAACAGGAUUAGAUACCC
rnacentral:rRNA from 1 species